rnacentral:rRNA from 1 species
CCCCUGUAUUUUAUACGGUGAAGAUUAAUAUAUAUAUGAAAUUUAAAGUUUUUGGCGGCUAUUUAUUAUUUAGAGGAACUUGCUUAUUAAUAGAAAUUACUCUUUAUAUUUUACUUAUUUUUGUUUAUUUAUCUUCGUUAUUAGAUGAAAAUUAAAUAAAAGUUUAUUUAUAUUUCAGAUCAAGAUGUAGCAAAAAUUAGAUUAGGUUAGUUACAUUUAUGGAAUAAUGGAUUUUUAUUUUAAAUAUAAAUUUAAUUUGAAUUUAGUUGUAAAAUUAUUUAGAAUGAAAAUUUGAAAUUAUAUAAUUAGUGUU